UACGUAGGGCGCAAGCGUUGUCCGGAAUUAUUGGGCGUAAAGAGCUCGUAGGCGGCUUGUCACGUCGGGUGUGAAAGCCCGGGGCUUAACCCCGGGUCUGCAUUCGAUACGGGCUGGCUAGAGUGUGGUAGGGGAGAUCGGAAUUCCUGGUGUAGCGGUGAAAUGCGCAGAUAUCAGGAGGAACACCGGUGGCGAAGGCGGAUCUCUGGGCCGAUACUGACGCUGAGGAGCGGAAGCGUGGGGAGCGAACAGG
rnacentral:rRNA from 1 species